GACGAACGCUGGCGGCGUGCCUAAUACAUGCAAGUAGAACGCACAGUUUAUACCGUAGCUUGCUACACCAUAGACUGUGAGUUGCGAACGGGUGAGUAACGCGUAGGUAACCUGCCUGGUAGCGGGGGAUAACUAUUGGAAACGAUAGCUAAUACCGCAUAAUAUUAAUUAUUGCAUGAUAAUUAAUUGAAAGGUGCAAUUGCACCACUACCAGAUGGACCUGCGUUGUAUUAGCUAGUAGGUGAGGUAACGGCUCACCUAGGCGACGAUACAUAGCCGACCUGAGAGGGUGAGCGGCCACACUGAGACUGAGACACGGCCCAGACUCCUACGGGAGGCAGCAGUAGGGAAACUUCGGCAAUGGACGAAAGUCUGACCGAGCAACGCCGCGGGAGGGAAGAAGGGUGUCGGAUCGUAAAGCUCUGUUGUAAGAGAAGAACGGGUGUGAGAGUGGAAAGUUCACACUGUGACGGUAUCUUACCAGAAAGGGACGGCUAACUACGUG
rnacentral:rRNA from 1 species